UUCGCAAUGCCCGAAAGGGUGACGAAGCGACGCCGCGUGGGUGAAGAAGGCCUUCGGGUUGUAAAGCCCUGUCAGGAGUUAUGAAAUGUAGGUGCGAUAAUACCGUGCCUAUUUGACAAAGGCUCCAAAGGAAGCCACGGCUAACUCUGUGCCAGCAGCCGCGGUAAUACAGAGGUGGCAAGCGUUGUUCGGAAUUAUUGGGCGUAAAGAGCACGUAGGUGGAUUUGUAAGUCAGGUGUGAAAACCUUCUGUUCAACGGAAGAAUUGCAUCUGAAACUGCAAACCUUGAGUGUAGGAGGGGAGAAUGGAACUUCUGGUGGAGCGGUGAAAUGCGUAGAUAUCAGAAGGAACGCCGGCGGCGAAAGCGAUUCUCUGGCCUAUUACUGACACUGAGUGUACGAAAGCUAGGGGAGCAAACGGGAUUAGAUACCCCGGUAGUCCUAGCCGUAAACGAUGGGCACUAAGUAGAGGGGUUUU
rnacentral:rRNA from 1 species